CCUACGGGAGGCAGCAGUAAGGAAUAUUGGUCAAUGGACGCAAGUCUGAACCAGCCAUGCCGCGUGAAGGAUGAAGGUCCUCUGGAUUGUAAACUUCUUUUAUCUGGGACGAAAAAAGAUCAUUCUUGAUCACUUGACGGUACCAGAGGAAUAAGCACCGGCUAACUCCGUGCCAGCAGCCGCGGUAAU
rnacentral:rRNA from 1 species